rnacentral:misc_RNA from 1 species
GAUGAAGAACGUAGCGAAAUGCGAUAAGUAAUGUGAAUUGCAGAAUUCAGUGAAUCAUCGAAUCUUUGAACGCACAUUGCGCCCCCUGGUAUUCCGGGGGGCAUGCCUGUCCGAGCGUCAUUACAACCCUCAAGCUCAGCUUGGUAUUGGGCCCCGCCGACCCGGCGGGCCCUAAAGUCAGUGGCGGUGCCGUCCGGCUCCGAGCGUAGUAAUUCUUCUCGCUCUGGAGGUCCGGUCGUGUGCUCGCCAGCAACCCCCAAUUUUUUUCAGGUUGACCUCGGAUCAGGCAGGGAUACCCGCUGAACUUAAGCAUAUCAAUAAGCGGAGGA